GACGAACGCUGGCGGCGUGCCUAAUACAUGCAAGUCGAACGCAGUGGGGACGGGUGAGUAACACGUGGGUAACCUCCCAUCAGAGGGGAUAACACUUGGAAACAGGUGCUAAACCUAUACUGAUGGAUGAACCCGCGUUGCAUUAGCUAGUUGGUGAGGUAACGGCUCACCAAGGCCACGAUGCAUAGCCGGCCUGAGAGGGUGAUCGGCCACACUGGGACUGAGACAAGGACCAGACUCAUACGGGAGGAAGCAGUAGGGAAUCUUCGGCAAUGGACGAAAGUCUGAUCGAGCAACGCCGCGUGAGUGAAGAAGGUGUGCGGAUCGUAAAACUCUGUUGUUAGAGAAGCGGUAUCUAACCAGAAAGCCACGGCUAACUACGUGCCAGCCGCCGCGGUAAUAC
rnacentral:rRNA from 1 species